rnacentral:rRNA from 1 species
GGACGACCGCUGGCGGCGUGCUUAACACAUGCAAGUCGAACGGAAAGGCCCUGCUUUUGUGGGGUGCUCGAGUGGCGAACGGGUGAGUAACACGUGAGUAACCUGCCCUUGACUUUGGGAUAACUUCAGGAAACUGGGGCUAAUACCGGAUAGGAGCUCCUGCUGCAUGGUGGGGGUUGGAAAGUUUCGGCGGUUGGGGAUGGACUCGCGGCUUAUCAGCUUGUUGGUGGGGUAGUGGCUUACCAAGGCUUUGACGGGUAGCCGGCCUGAGAGGGUGACCGGCCACAUUGGGACUGAGAUACGGCCCAGACUCCUACGGGAGGCAGCAGUGGGGAAUAUUGCACAAUGGGCGGAAGCCUGAUGCAGCAACGCCGCGUGCGGGAUGACGGCCUUCGGGUUGUAAACCGCUUUCGCCUGUGACGAAGCGUGAGUGACGGUAAUGGGUAAAGAAGCACCGGCUAACUACGUG